rnacentral:rRNA from 1 species
CGGUAAUUCCAGCUCCAAUAGCGUAUACUAAAGUUGUUGCAGUUAAAAAGCUCGUAGUUGGAUUUCUGCGGGGACGGAGCGGCCGGUCGCAACUUGCGACUCGAGCUAGCGCUUUCCCCGCAUCCUGCCGCGAACCGUGCUACCAUUAGUUUGGUGGCGCUGGGGAUCGGCUCGAUUACUUUGAGAAAAAUAGAGUGUUCAAAGCAGGCCACACGCCUUGAAUAAGUUAGCAUGGAAUAAUGACUAAGGACUUUGGUUCUUUUCGUUGGUGUUCGGGACUGAAGUAAUGAUUGAUAGGGACAGUUGGGGCGGUCCGUAUUCCAAAGCGAGAGGUGAAAUUCUUAGACCUUCGGAAGACGAACAGCUGCGAAAGCGUUCCGCAAGGAUGUUCCCUUUGAUCAAGAACGAAAGUUGGGGGAUCGAAGACGAUCAGAUACCGUCGUAGUCUCAACUAUAAACUAUACCAGCUAGGGAUCGGCCAACGUUUAAUUAUUCGACUUGGUCGGCACCUUAUGAGAAAUCAAAGCAUCUGGGUUCCGGGGGGAGUAUGGUCGCAAGGCUGAAACUUAAAGGAAUUGACGGAAGGGCACCACCAGCCGUGGAGCCUGUGGCUUAAUUUGACUCAACACGGGAAAACUUACCAGGUCCGGACAUAGUAAGGAUUGACAGAUUGAUAGCUCUUUCUUGAUUCUGUGGGUGGUGGUGCAUGGCCGUUUUUAGUAGGUGGAUGUGAUCUGUCUGCUUAAUUGCGUUAACGGACGAGACCCCAGCCUGCUAAAUAGCGCGGCCGAGCUUUGCUCGGUGCGAGCUUCUUAGAGGGACCAUGAUGCGCGAUAGCACAAGGAAGUUUGGGGCAACAGCAGGUCUGUGAUGCCCUUAGAUGUUCUGGGCCGCACACGGGCUACACUGGCGCCUGCAACGAGCAUAUCAGCUGGCCCGAGAGGGUCUUGGCUAAUCUUUGGAACCGGCGCCGUGCUUGGGAUUGACCAUUGCAAUUGUUGGUCAUGCAACGAGGAAUGCCUUGUAAACGCGAGUCAUCAGCUCGCAUUGAAUACGUCCCUGCCCUUUGUACACACCGCCCGUCGCUCCUACCGAUGAAUGUUCCGAUGAAAUUUUCGGAGAGCGCCGGAGAACGGGGCUCCGCCCUGCAGAACUGGAGGCUCAAAGUCACUUAAAUCUGAACAUUUCGAGGAAGGAGAAGUCGUAACAAGGUAGCCG